UCAGCGCGGGGACGCGAUGCGCGUGCGGCGCUGGAGCACAUGGAAGAGCGCGAGGACGGGAUUUAGCAGCGCGGCUAACGGUCAACGCUACCGGGGAGAGAGGGGCAUGAGGGUCCCGGGAGAGCGGCGGGCGGACCGGAGGACAGGGGAAGGAAACGGGAGGGUUUCUGCAGAAAGAAGAAGCUCUGAGGAGAAAACUUCACCCAGACUGGAGCCCCAGCUGAACCUGAGGAGCUCCUGAGAGCUCCUCCUGCUCCUCCUGCUGCUGCUACAGAGUGAGAGGCUAUUCUGAGUUCUAUGCCCUUGCUUGGAGCUGCAGAUCGUAUGUGUUCUAGGAACACGCUAGGAGGUUCACAAACAUCAUGGUUCAGUUUGGAGCACCAUUUGGACGUCAUGGUUCAGAACUAUUACGAUGCAACAGGAAAAAAAACCAAGAACUCUCCCAGGUUCCAUCUAGGGCUGUACAAUGCCAUGUGAGGAUGUGAAACCUGCAGUUUGAAAGUUUGACUGUUAUGUGACGGACUGGAAGGACUGAGGAUGGCAGUAUUCUGACAAGAUCAACAACACUUUCACGAGAGGCCCCCCGUUUACGAGAAACCUCAGUGUUUUCAGCCUAUGAGAGGAGCAGAGGGCAGGGGGACUCGAAGGGGGAGUGCUGUGGUUUCCUGUCUGAGUUUUGCUUUUACUUCUACUGAGAAAGGACACCUGAGUGCUUGUGCUACACUUCCGGUGGUGGGGUGCUCCAGUGGAUGCUCCCUUCCUGUCUGUUCACUCGUGGUUUGGCACCUUAAUUGCUGUGGUGUGAGUUCACGUGCACUGCACUUUUGUGUGUGUCUGUGUGUGUGUGUGAGACCUACAGCCAGUAGCCCAGCUUUUGGAGCUCCUGUGUAAUUUUCUUCUUUCAUGUUUUUGUUGAUUUUACUCAAUAUUAAUAAAUUAGUGUUUUUAAUGAAUGUUUAAUUAAUAAAUCUUCCUGACU